rnacentral:rRNA from 1 species
CUACGGGGGGCUGCAGUCGAGGAUCUUUCGCAAUGCCCGCAAGGGUGACGAAGCGACGCCGCGUGGGGGAAGAAGGCCUUCGGGUUGUAAACCCCUGUCAGAAGCCAGGAAAUGUAGGGUGUGAAUAGCGCCCUACUUGACUACAGCUUCAGAGGAAGCCAUGACUAACCCUGUGCCAGCAGCCGCGGUAAUACAGAGAUGGCAAGCGUUGUUCGGAAUCAUUGGGCGUAAAGAGCACGUAGGCGGCCUUGCAAGUCGGGUGUGAAAUCCCCUGGCUUACCCAGGGAACUGCGUCCGAUACUGCGGGGCUUGAGGACAGGAGGGGAGAGUGGAACUUCUGGUGGAGCGGUGAAAUGCGUAGAUAUCAGAAGGAACACCGGUGGCGAAAGCGACUCUCUGGUCUGUUUCUGACGCUGAGGUGCGAAAGCUAGGGGAGCAAACGGGAUUAGAUACCCCAGUAGUC